UGGCGGCGUGCUUAACACAUGCAAGUCGAACGGAGUUUUAAACGGAAGUUUCGGAGUAGGAAGUUAAAACUAGUGGCGGACGGGUGAGUAACGCGUGGGUAACCUGCCUCAGUACAGGGGGAUAACAGUUAGAAAUGACUGCUAACACCGCAUAAUAUAGCGAAACCGCAUGAUUUUGCUAUCAAAUAUUUAUAGGUAUGAGAUGGGCCCGCGUCUGAUUAGCUAGUUGGUGGGGUAAAGCCUACCAAGGCGACGAUCAGUAGCCGGCUUGAGAGAGUGACCGGCCACAUUGGGACUGAGACACGGCCCAAACUCCUACGGGAGGCAGCAGUGGGGAAUAUUGGACAAUGGGGGAAACCCUGAUCCAGCGACCGCCGCGUGAGUGAAGAAGUAUUUCGGUAUGUAAAGCUCUAUCAGCAGGGAAGAUAAUGACAGUACCUGACUAAGAAGCCCCGGCUAACUACGUGCCAGCAGCCGC
rnacentral:rRNA from 1 species